rnacentral:rRNA from 1 species
GAGUUUGAACCUGGCUCAGGACGAACGCUGGCGGCGUGCCUAAUACAUGCAAGUCGAGCGAGCUGAAUUCAAAGAUCCCUUCGGGGUGAUUUGUUGGACGCUAGCGGCGGAUGGGUGAGUAACACGUGGGCAAUCUGCCCUAAAGACUGGGAUACCACUUGGAAACAGGUGCUAAUACCGGAUAACAACAUGAAUCGCAUGAUUCAAGUUUGAAAGGCGGCGCAAGCUGUCACUUUAGGAUGAGCCCGCGGCGCAUUAGCUAGUUGGUGGGGUAAAGGCCUACCAAGGCAAUGAUGCGUAGCCGAGUUGAGAGACUGAUCGGCCACAUUGGGACUGAGACACGGCCCAAACUCCUACGGGAGGCAGCAGUAGGGAAUCUUCCACAAUGGACGCAAGUCUGAUGGAGCAACGCCGCGUGAGUGAAGAAGGUUUUCGGAUCGUAAAGCUCUGUUGUUGGUGAAGAAGGAUAGAGGCAGUAACUGGUCUUUAUUUGACGGUAAUCAACCAGAAAGUCACGGCUAACUACGUGCCAGCAGCCGCGGUAAUACGUAGGUGGCAAGCGUUGUCCGGAUUUAUUGGGCGUAAAGCGAGCGCAGGCGGAAUGAUAAGUCUGAUGUGAAAGCCCACGGCUCA